rnacentral:rRNA from 1 species
AGUAAUGUAUAGGAACUUGCCUAAUAGUGGGGGACAACGUGUGGAAACGCACGCUAAUACCGCAUACGCUCUACGGAGGAAAGCGGGGGAUCUUCGGACCUCGUGCUAUUAGAUAGGCCUAUAUUGGAUUAGCUAGUUGGUGAGGUAAUGGCUCACCAAGGCGACGAUCCGUAGCUGGUCUGAGAGGACGAUCAGCCACACUGGGACUGAGACACGGCCCAG